UGGAACAUCUCGGCUUUUCUUUGGGAAUCAUGGAAUNUUGCUAUUUUAUUUUGCUUAUAAUACUAAUUCAUGAUGCAGCGCGGGUUUUUCUUUUAUUAAGUUUUAUUCAUUUAGCUUUUCCAUUUCAUGAUGCAACGCGGGUUUAUCUUUUAUUAAGCUUUAUUCAUUUAGCUUUUCUAGUUCCAUGUCUUGUUUGCAUUUAAAUGCUUAACU
rnacentral:lncRNA from 1 species